rnacentral:rRNA from 1 species
CCUGAGAAACCCAAAAGAUCGAAUGGGGAGACUCAACGACUGCGAUCCUGGCGCUCGCGCGGUUCGCGAUGCUACGUGGCCUCGGCUCCGUGGCACGCGUCCGUGUGUUCUCAUUCGCCGGGUGUCGCCGUCGCGCACUUCUCCCCUAGUAGGACGUCGCGACCCGUUGGGUGUCGGUCUACGGCCCGGGUGGGCGCCUGUCGUUUGUAACGCCUCGCGGCGUCAUGCGGCAGACCCCCGGUAGCCCGACCAGCUGCCCGGCGGUACUCGCACGGUAUCGAGCCGCAAUUUUAUUGCGUCAGGCCCGUCGCAAGCUAGGCCUUAGAGUUGAACCCGGUCGCACGGACCCAGUGCCGUCACCGGGCCUGGCCGGCUGUUGGCUGACGGUGUCCUAAGACAGGCUCUUUUCGAAUUACCGGUCGGCGACGCUACUGCUUUGGGUACUUUCAGGA